rnacentral:rRNA from 2 species
UACGGAGGGUGCGAGCGUUAAUCGGAAUUACUGGGCGUAAAGCGCGCGUAGGCGGUUUGUUAAGUCAGCUGUGAAAGCCCCGGGCUUAACCUGGGAACUGCAGUUGAUACUGGCCGACUAGAGUACGAGAGAGGGAGGUAGAAUUCCAUGUGUAGCGGUGAAAUGCGUAGAUAUAUGGAGGAAUACCGGUGGCGAAGGCGGCCUCCUGGCUCGAUACUGACGCUGAGGUGCGAAAGCGUGGGGAUCAAAC